rnacentral:rRNA from 1 species
GAUGGGCCCGCGGCCUAUCAGCUUGUUGGUGGGGUAACGGCCCACCAAGGCGACGACGGGUAGCCGGCCUGAGAGGGCGACCGGCCACACUGGGACUGAGACACGGCCCAGACUCCUACGGGAGGCAGCAGUGGGGAAUAUUGCGCAAUGGGCGAAAGCCUGACGCAGCGACGCCGCGUGAGGGAUGAAGGCCUUCGGGUUGUAAACCUCUUUCAGCAGGGACGAAGCGAAAGUGACGGUACCUGCAGAAGAAGCACCGGCCAACUACGUGCCAGCAGCCGCGGUAAUACGUAGGGUGCAAGCGUUGUCCGGAAUUAUUGGGCGUAAAGAGCUCGUAGGCGGUCUGUCGCGUCGGCUGUGAAAACCCGGGGCUCAACCCCGGGCCUGCAGUCGAUACGGGCAGACUAGAGUGCGGUAGGGGAGACUGGAAUUCCUGGUGUAGCGGUGAAAUGCGCAGAUAUCAGGAGGAACACCGGUGGCGAAGGCGGGUCUCUGGGCCGUAACUGACGCUGAGGAGCGAAAGCGUGGGGAGCGAACAGGAUUAGAUACCCUGGUAGUCCACGCCGUAAACGUUGGGCGCUAGGUGU